rnacentral:ncRNA from 2 species
AAAAAGACGUUGAUGGGAAGAGUAGGUUAUUUAGACCAACUAGAGAGGGGAGUCCUUAGGCUGAAAGUCUCCCUAUGGAAAGAAUAACUGAAGACCACCCCAGAGUCGUAUCCCAAAACCAUAGGUAGAAGGAUAUCCGCUAAUAUGCGUUAUACAGAUUGAGUACCAAAUAGGGUGGAACCACGGGAGUCAACCUCUCGUCCCUGCA